rnacentral:tRNA from 1 species
AGGGGCAUAGUUUCAACGGUAGAACGGCGGUCUCCAAAACCGUGAGUGGGGGUUCGAAUCCCUCUGCCCCUGCCA